GAGGCUGGGAUUCGAACCCUCGGGAACCCAGUGUUAUCAGUUGUUCAGAUUCUUUUCUUAAGCAAAGCUGGAAACAGAGUUUUUAAUGUUAAGUCUCCUGCUUUUAAAAAACAUCGAUCGAAUCAACCAAACACAACGCUGUUUUUCCAAACAGACCAUGCUGGGGCCCCAGAACGCCCGCCCCCACUGCGGGCCGGGCGGGAGCCCUGCUCACAGCCACCCUGCCUGUCCCCAGGGCCCUGUGGCCAGCGGCAGCCCGGUCAGACUCGGGGCUGGCAACGAUAGGAGUCGGAGCUGAUGUGUACGCUGAGAGCUUCCUGUGGGCCAAGCCUGUGCCUAGCAGUUCCGUUCUCACGAGGGCCCUUGUCCAAGGUCAGGGGAUUGUGACCUUCCUUUUGCAGAUGAAGGAACAGAGGCCCAGAGAAGUCAGGUAUCUUGUCUCAGGUUGCACAGCUGGGAGUGGUGGAGUCAGGACUAGAACCCGGGCCAUUGGGUUCCAGAGUGGGGCUUGGUCCACUGUACUUUUUGCCUUUGUUUGGGUCCAAUUCUGAAGAAUCCCAGGGAAGGGUGAGUGACGAACAUCUGCUCAGUCCUGAUGGUGACCCGUGCCAGGCACUUCCUGUCACUUUAUUUCGUGUGACCCUUACACCAACCCUGGCGCGGUGGGGCUUCUUAUUGGAACAGAUGUGGGUGCCGAGCCUCAGAGAGGCCUAGAGAACUGCCGAGAUCACACGGGCAGGGUUUGAACUUGGAUUUGAAGGACUGCAGGGCCCACGAUAAUUACCCCAUGAGAAGGUGGUAAUUAAGUGAUUUUCAGUUUUUAAAAGAAUACCUGCUUAAGGAGGGAGCACAGAAAAGUGCAGCGAGGAAGAGUUAGGACAGCUCUGUUGAAGUGACUGGGCUGCAGCAGCUCCCUUCGUGUGUAUUUAGGGGGCGCUUGGGGGUCCCCUGCGUCUGGGUCUAAAGCUCCUUGGGGCGUGGGGUGAGGAGCGUGGAAGCAGGCAGUGCUGGGGUGAGGGCCGUGCCCGCUGUUGUCCCGGGUUUUCUCUCCUCCCUUUGUCUGUGAGUACCUUGCUCAUAACAGCCUCGCUGUGAUCAGCGUGUUUGGAUCCACACCCUCUCUCUAAGUGGUGCUAAUUGAAUUAACCACAGCCUAAGGUGGUGUUUUCGAGGUUGGCAUCUAGGAGGCUUUUUGUCGGAAGGCCCAGCCAGCCAAGAUGCUGACUCCCACUCCUGUUCAUUCAACACGAUGCCCCCGGGCACCUGCUCUGUGCCAAGCUCUGUGCUGGGUGCCAGGGGAGUAGAAAUGGAAGGCAGUGUCCCUGUAGCCGCCGCCGACCUCGUGAUCUAGUGGGGCCGGAGAGGGCAACUGCUCUGCGAUGCAACCUGUAGGGAGGCCGGUCCAGGUGACACAGACAGGACACGGGCAGGUGGGGAGGUGGGAAGGGAGAGAUGCACUGGAGGGAGCCUGGGGGAAGAGCCUUCAGACUGAGCCCCUCAAGUGAGCACUCGGGGGUCUCAUCUAUCUUCCUGAGCCCGGCACCUAGCUCAAGGCCUGUGCACAGGGGCUGCUGGGGGUGCAUUUCAAGGUUGCAUUCAGGCGUCCAGCCCCAUGAGGCAGAAGGUAAGUGGUAAGUGACAUUAAACUGUAUUUAGGCCCAUGUCUGCCUACAGGCCACUUUAGUUUCUUUCAAACACAUGGAAUAGGCACCUAGUACUAGGACCAUGCAUCUGGGUUAGCUGUGGACAGCAGGCCUGCAGCCCCUGCAGCAUAGAGGGGUCCAAGGUCAAGGCCAGCAUUUUAGUCAGAAGCUGGGUUCCUGUUGGUACUUGGUACUCAGUACUCAGUACUCAGUACUCGGUGGAUGCUUGACAACUAUUUGACAAACGAGUCAAUGGGCACCAGGGCCUGUGGGUGAAGCAGGGAGCUGAGGCUGGGAGCUGAGGCUGGGAGCAGCACUCUGCUGCCCGGAAGUGCUCAGUAAAUACUCCUCAAUCAUUUCCUGGCGAGCCCUGUGGUGUGCCCAGGAGAGUCCUGGUUGUGUGGGGGAGGGGGUGCUCGUCCUUUGGGCGGCCUGACCUCCUGCCCUCUGGCUCUCUGGGAGCCGGGGUGGUGGCACCAGCCUGUGGAGGCGUCACUGAGUAAACAAGCAGCAAACACAGGGAGAAGAACCUGUUGCCAGGCAGCCUCUCAGCUUAGUGAGCUAAACAGAAGCAUGUGAUGCACCCUGGAGGCAGCCCUCAGGGGAUUCCGGGAGCUGGGGGCCUGACGGGAUACACACCCAGAUCCCCCACCCCCACCCUCACUUCAAAGAAAGUGCCACCCAUGGGGUUGGGGUGGGGUGGGGUGGGGUGGGGGGGUUGUGAGGCGCCUUCUCUGACCCAGUCUCUGGGAUCCUUGCUUUGACUUGGGUUUCUCUGCAGGCAGGUGACCCCGAGCCAGGAGCCUGGGAGUUUGCUCUUGCGGAAGGCUCGGGUAGAGUCCCCUCGGCUCCUGAGGACACUUGUGGGUCUGUCUUCUGUUCUCUGCAGUGGUGGAGGGGCACUGUGGUCCAGAAAGUCUGGAGAGCUCUGGGCUGACCACAGUCAGGCGUCUGUCUUGUGGACUUGUACGGCCCCUCAGUGUGCUUGUGACCCCGUGAGAGGGAGGGUGAAUAAAAAACCUUCUUUUCCCAGCGUUUUGUUUUACCUCAUAUCUAUCUGUUUUCCUUUCUAAAACUAUCUCGUGACACUGUUGUUUUCAGGAACCCCAUGCUGGAAUGUCAUUCAUUCAUUCAUUCAACAAAUAUUUAUUGAAUACCUACUAUAUGCCAGUGAACAUUUUAGAGGUUUGGGAUACAUUCAGUGGCCAAUUCAGACUUGGGAGGAACUGGCAUUCUUGCAGAAGCGAUGAACUCAUCUCUAUGGAGCACCCACCGGGUGGCAGGCAUGCGAGUUAUCAAACCUUACCCUGUCGAACCCUUGCAGCGGCCUGCUCAGGUAGAUGGACCCUUUCACAGAGCAGGUAACUGCGGCUCUAAGGAGCGAAGUGACUUGCCCACUUUGGCUGAAUCGUCCUUUUGGGGAUUGUGCCUUUGAAUGACAAGAGGAGCCGGUGAUCGAAGGAACCUCCGGAAGAGACCUCAGGGAGUGUGGUGGGAGGUCCCAGGCCUUGCGUCCCUUCAUCAGGCUCUGAUGGGGAAACUUCUCUGAGGCCCUGAAUCGUGCAGGGGAGGAUGUGCUUCUUCAGAACAACCGGUUUGUUUUCGUGCUCUGGGCACCGACGGUCUCGUGGCUGAUCCUGUUUCUCUUUGGCUGUGGUUACCAAGCGCCUGAGCGCUAGAUCGGUGGCCCGUCUUGACACUUCUGCAGGAAGGGGCCGUGUGGUGCCUCUUUCCAUGGGCGAUCUCACCCCAGGCUUCGCCAUUUCCUCUGUACUUGCUUUUUCUUGGCCCGACUCCCCCGAUGUUUAUUUUUUUUUUAUUUUGUGUCGUUGCUAUUAUUCUAAGCCCCCAUAAAUACUUUGUGGAUGGAGCUGAGUAGAACUAAAUUUUAAAAUGAAUGGUAGGAUGACUCGUAGUAAGGCCCCCAGCUCGUCUGUGGGGAGGAGGGCUCCCCGCUCUGUGCACCGCACUCCUGCCUUUCCGGAUUAGGAUCCGCCAGGAGUCAGGUCUGUUUGCUUCUGCAGCCACCGUCUGGUGGGUUCCACACGAAGCUGGGCCGGCGGGAUUGGAGGCCCUGAGUGGCUUGAACUGACCUGGAUGUCACACACAUGGCUGGAGGAAGGCUCCAGGCCAUGGGCCCCUUCUUGGGGAGGGCUGCUCAGCCUCUCCUUCCUGCGUGCCGUGUGUUUGGUUCCAAGCGGGGCAGAGAGAUGAGCGCUGCAUGCUCUUUGCAGCUACUCUGCACUCAUUAUCCCCAUGGCAACUCCAGGCGAGCAAGGAGAGGAGCAGGUGGCAUUGACGAGGAAACUGGGGUCUGCAGAGGUUAAAUGACUUCCCUGCUGCGCGAGGCCUGAGCCUGUGGCCCCGACAGGAAGCCAGAUGGCUGCAAGGAGAGCUCCUGGAACCCUGUGUGGGGUAGGUGGCCUCAUGCAAACAGGGAACAGCUUAGGGUUUGCACCACGGGGCUUGAGUCCUGGCCGCCACUGUGUGCAUGGGGGUGAAUCAGCUUUCGGAGUCUCAGUAGCCUCAUCUUUAAAAUGGGCACCUAAUUCCUGCCUACCAGCCUCACGGGACUGCUGUAAGGAAAUGCAGGAGAUGAGCGUGGGAACGUUUGUCUGGUGUUAAGCACUGUGCCUGUGUCUUCAUUCUGUUGCUGCUGGUAGUAGUAAUAAUAAUAAUAAUAAACACCAGGAAUGUUGACUUCUGUACCAGUCCAUGUGGUCAACUUCACAUACAUGAUCCUAAUGGGUGUGCAAACAAGCAGACCAGUAGGGGCUAGGAUAGCCCAGUUUUAUAGGUGGAAAAGAAUGAAGCAAUCUGCUUAAGAAAGAUGAACUUGCUUCAGGUCACAGGGCUUUAAGGGGUAGAGCCACAUUUGAACCCAGACAGCUGACCCUCAGCUGAACUUGUCUCCACUAUCAGAGGAAAGGGCAGAUGCUUGGGGCCUUCUGGGGGCUUGGCCCCUGUGCCCAUCAGUGUGGUGGGUGCAGUAGGGACCAUCUUGGGCAGGGCGUGGGUCCUGGAGGGGCAGUGGAACCAAGGACUCAGCUGGGGAACGGCCUGGGGUGGCCGAACCACAGGUCUUUCACCUGUUGGAUGGGGCUAUAAUAAUGUGCUUCAGGGGGUUACAUGAAGUAGGACAGACAUAGAUGCUUGUAUAAAAAGGUCUGUGAUACAGAAAUGACAUUUUGCAAACUUGCAGAGUAGAUAUAACUUACUCGGAACAGCCACUUCUGUUUUUUUGAAUCGUCUGGUUGCUGAGACGGCUGGAUCACUCCCAGGAGGCAGCACCGGGCCAUCCCCUGGCUGGGAGCAGCCAGUCUGCAUUCCCCCCCACCCCAAGCAAGCCACGGACCCCAUCUGGGAGGGGAUGCCACCUGCCCUCUUCCUUGUGUGCACCACGCCUGUGCUCCUUUGACACGGAAAGCACCGUGCAGAGAGCGGCCCUGGGCCUGCAGGGCGGGUGCCGGUGCUGAAGGUGGGCACAGGUCAGUGUGACCUUUUGUCACGGAGCCCUGGGCAGAGCCACCCCACGCAGGCCACACGUGGGGCUGUGAGGAAGCAGGAAGCCACAGGACCAUGAUUGACUCCUCCAAGUGUUGCAAUUUUAUUUAUUUU